rnacentral:rRNA from 1 species
ACUCAAAUGAAUUGACGGGGGCCCGCACAAGCGGUGGAGCAUGUGGUUUAAUUCGAUGCUACGCGAAGAACCUUACCCAGGCUUGACAUCCCGCGCUAACCUACGAAAGUAGGCGUUCCCUUCGGGGACGCGGUGACAGGUGCUGCAUGGCUGUCGUCAGCUCGUGUUGUGAGAUGUUGGGUUAAGUCCCGCAACGAGCGCAACCCUCGUCGCUAGUUACCAUCAUUAAGUUGGGCACUCUAGCGAGACCGCUGGGCUAUAAGCCAGAGGAAGGUGGGGAUGACGUCAAGUCCUCAUGGCCUUUAUGUCUGGGGCUACACACGUGCUACAAUGGGAGAUACAAUGCGCCGCAAGCUCGCGAGAGCAAGCUAAUCGCAAAAAAUCUCUCUCAGUUCGGAUUGGAGUCUGCAAUUCGACUCCAUGAAGCUGGAAUCGCUAGUAAUCGUGGAUCAGCACGCCACGGUGAAUACGUUCCCGGGCCUUGUACACACCGCCCGU